AGGGAAAUAGCUCUAGUGGUAGAGCACAUGCUUAACACAUAUAAGGUCCUAGGUUCAAUCCCUAGUACCUCCA
rnacentral:tRNA from 1 species